CUCUCUUUUUUCUUAUCUCUUCUUCAGAUCUGAAAGCUUUGUGAUCAUUUUCUUUUUGCUGCUAUAAAUGGCUUCUUCUUCUUUAUCUCUGCCUUGCAGUUGUUUGUAUGACGUCUUUGUGAGCUUCCGUGGAGAAGACGUGCGCAAAGACUUUCUUAGUCACUUUGUGAAAGAGCUCAAAAGCAAGGCUAUCACACCGUUCAUUGAUAACGAGAUGAAGCGAGGCGAAUCCAUCAAUGCCGAGCUCAUAGGAGCAAUCAGACAAUCAAGGGUGGCCGUUGUCUUACUCUCCCCUGACUACGCUUCUUCAAGCUGGUGUCUGGAUGAGUUGGUGGAAAUCAUGAAGUGCAAAGAAGAGAAACAACAAAAAGUGAUACCCAUUUUCUAUAAAGUGGAUCCAUCUGAUAUUAAGAAGCAGACCGGACAUUUCGGAAAAACCUUUGAGAAAUCCUGUGUGGGGAAAACAGAAGGGGUGACCCAGGCAUGGAGGAAAGCUUUGAAGGAUGUCCCGGUUCUAGCUGGUUAUGACUCUAGCACCUGGCAAAACGAAGCUGAUUUGAUGGAAAAAAUUGCUGUAGAUCUUAUGGAUUUGUUGGGUUUUAAACCAUCAACAGAUUUUGAUGACCUUGUUGGCAUGGAAACUCGUAUGGAGGAGAUAAACUCGUUGUUGGACCUAACAGCAGGUGAUGACGUUAAGAUUAUAGGAAUUGUGGGUCCUGCUGGGAUUGGUAAGACGACCACAGCCAGAGCUUUGUACAACCGAUUCUCUCGUGAUUUUCCGUUCAGCACGUUUAUUGAGGAUAUCAGAGGGAGUAAAGAGAUGCCUUCUCUCGGUGGUUCCCUUGACAAAUAUCAGUUGGAUUAUCAGAAAGAGUUACUGUCUCGGAUUUUCAAGCAAAAGGAUUAUGAGGUUGGUCACUUGGGAGUGGCUGAACAAAAGCUGAGAGACAAAAAAGUGUUGAUUGUUCUUGAUGAAAUGGAUUGCUUGUUGAAACUAGAGGCAAUGGCAAACAGUCCUAAAUGGUUUGGUCCUGGAAGUAUGCUUAUCAUUACAACCGAAGAUAGAAACCUUCUAAAGGCACACGAGAUCAAAUGUAUUUACGAUAUGAAACUUCCAAAUCAAAUUGAGGCAUUUGAGAUCUUCUGCCAAUAUGCUUUCCAUCAAAACUCUCCGUUUGAGGGUUUUGAAGAGCUUGCUUGGGAAGUUACUAGACUUGCUGGUUUUCUUCCUCUAGGCCUGAGAAUCAUGGCAUUGUCUCUACGAGGAAAGACCAUGGAAGAGUGGAGAAAUGCAAUACCAAGGCUCGAGUCUAGCCUUGACAAAGGAAUUGAAACAAUUCUAAUGUUUGGCUACAACCGCUUAAGUGAUGAUAAAGAUAGAGAUCUUUUUCUGUAUAUUGCAUGUUUCUUUGUUGGUUUCGAGGUUGAGCGCGUUAAACGCUGUCUUGCAGACAGUCGUUUGGAUGUUGAUCAUGGGCUUGAAGUCUUAGAGCAGAAAACUUUCAUAUCUAUAGACAACGGAUACUUAGAGAUGCAUAGUUUACUGCAACAAAUGGGUAGAGAAAUUGUCAGGAAAGAGUCUUUGGAGGAGCCUGGAAAACGAAAGUUCUUGUGGGAUACAACGGAAAUUUCGGAAUUAUUUUAUCAAAAUACUGGUACAAAAAAGGUUAUAGGCAUAAUGAUGUCAUAUACUUUUGGGGAAAGGGAAAUCCAAAUCCCAAUACGUAAAAGCGUUUUCGAUCGGUUGAAUAAUCUCCAGUUUCUAAAAUUAAGUCGUGGAACAUCUUGUAAGUUAUGCACACCUGAAGGCCUCAACUGUCUUCCCGACAAACUCAGAUUUUUAGAUUGGGCAGACUGUCCAUUGAGGUUUUGGCCUUCCAAAUUCUCUGCCGAAUUUCUUGUCGAACUAAUCAUGCCAGAUAGCAAAUUUAAGAAGCUUUGGAAGGGAAUCAAACCUCUCCAAUGCCUCAAGCUGAUGAAUUUGAGUUACUCUGAGUAUCUGAAAGAGAUUCCAGAUCUCUCAAAUGCAACUAGCCUCGAGGAAUUAGAUGUUGGUGGGUGCAGAAGUUUGAAAAAAUUCAGUGGUUGCUCAAGUUUGAAAAAACUUGAUCUAAGAUAUACUGCGAAAAAGGAAGUGCCAUCAUCAAUGACAACUUGGUCUUGUCUUUAUAAGUUGGAUAUGUCUAAGUGUAGAAACCUCAAGGAGUUCCCAAAUGUUCCAGACAGCAUUGAAGAGUUGGUGUUGAGCUUUACAGGGAUAGAGGAGGUUCCUCCAUGGAUUGAGAAUCUAUUUCGUCUGCGUGAACUAGUUAUGUUUGGAUGCGAGAAGCUGAAAACUAUAUCUCCAAACAUUUCUAAGUUGCAGAAUCUUGAGUUUCUUGCUCUGAGUUUGCUUGGUGUUAAGGAUUUUGAUUUGUAUGAAACUAUAUAUAGUCAUUCUCUCUUUUUUGAAGCAAUAAUCAAGUGGGGGCCUGACGUGAAGCACAGUUGGAGAUUACAAUCAGACUUCAGAAUUCAUGACAUUUUGCCGAUAUGUCUACCCGAGAAGGCUCUAACAUCUACAAUAUCAUUACAUUUCCGCGGUAAUGGUGUCAAGACUAUUCCAGAUUGCAUCAGACUUCUCUCGGGACUAAUUAAGCUGGAUGUCAAAGAAUGCAGAAAGCUUGUAGCACUUCCCCGGCUUCCAGGUUCCCCUCUAUCAAUAGAUGCAGAAGGUUGUGAUUUCUUGAAGAGAAUAGACUCUUCAUUUCAAAAUCCAAAUAUUUGCCUAAACUUUGCCAACUGCUUCAAACUGAAUCAAAGAGCAAGAAAGCUCAUCCAAACAUCAGCUUGCAAAUAUGCGUUCUUACCGGGUGAAGAAGUGCCUGCACAUCUCACUCACCGAGCUACUUCAGGUUCCCUGAGGAUCAAUUUGACUCCAACACCUCUUCCUUCAUCCAUCAGAUUCAAAGCUUGCAUCUUGCUGUCAAAUGACAGUACUAGUCCCGAGGAUUGUAGUGAGGAUUAUAGUGAUGACGAUGAUGAAGAGUAUAUUAUAGGAAAUUCUGAAAAGUAUGAUAAUUUAUUGAUGCGUGUGUCUUAUUGCGUCAGUGGUAAGCAGAAUUCCCUCACAGUCCGAAGUGAAUCAAACCAGGUCCAUCAUAUGCCACCUCGACUGGGAUUUUCAGAGCAUCUGUAUAUAUUUGAAGAUUCUUUCUCUCUAAACGAGGAUUGCUCUGAAGCUGAAGAAACAACUUUCAGAGAGCUUUCUUUUGUGUUCAGAUUCCAUGAUAAAACCUGCAGGAAGGUCAAAGGCUGCGGUGUUCGUCUUCUUGAAGUCCCUCAUUGUAUUACUGACGGAUAUGCAGAUGAUUACAAUGAUGAUGAUGAUGAUGAUGAUGAUGAUGAUGAUGAUGAUGAUUGUUACGAUGAUGAUGAUGAUUAUGAUGGUGAUGAUAAUGAUGAUGGUGACGAAGAUGAAAGUGAUGAUGAUGGUGAAGGUUUGGUAAGACUGAUGAAUUGUUUCUUUCAUCAUCGAAAGAAGAAAGGAAAAUCAGAUUCAAGGAGAGUAUUAAAAAGACUCACAUUGGUCUAGAGUCUUUGCAGUUAAGAGAAGCAGCUCAAGUAUAAAUCAGACAAGGAGCAAUCGUCUGGGUUAGGCCAGCUUAAUUUGUUUCCUUUUCAUAGAAUACAUUGUUGUGUGUGUGUCAGUUGAUCAAUAUGCAAACUCUAUCAAGGUUCUGACAGUCUCAACCUGAAUCAAGAAGCAAGAAAUCUCAUCCAGACAUCAUAUUCAUCGGGUAAAGAAGUGCCUGCACACUUCACUCAUCGAGCUACUUCAGGUUCCCUAACGAUCAGUUUGACUCCAACACCUCUUCCUUCAUUUUUCAGAUUCAAAGCUUGCUUCUUGCUGUCAAAAUACAAAUACUAAUCUCAAGGAUCAUAACGAUGACUGAUGAAGAGCAUGAGAAUUCAUCGAAGGGAAUGUCUUGUCGCAUCAGGGGAUUGUCCUGAAGCCGGAAAAAACACUUUCAUCAAGCUUUCUUUCAUGUAUUCAUAGUCCAAGGUUGCGGAGGUCCAAGGUUGCGGAGGUCCCUCAUUGUACUCUUGACAUAAAAGAAACUGAAGACAACGAAUGUGUGGGCAUAAACAUAGAGGUAAAAAUGAAAAUGCAGGUGGUGAGGAUGAAGAAAAGAAAGAAGAUGGUGAUGGUGAGGGAGAUGAUGGUCGUGCUGAUGGAGUUGGUGCUGAGGAUG